UUUUUUUUUUUUUUUUUGAAAGUUUUAGCCCUGGACCUAACACAGAGUAAGUGUUCAGAAAUGGAAAAGUUAACUAAAUGAAUUGAUGUAUUCUUAGGAUUUGAAAAUAUAGUUUGAAAAUAUGAUUUAAGGAUGCUUGGGUAGCUUAGUCUGUUGAGUGUCUGACUCUUGAUUUCGGCUGGGGUCAUGAUCUCAGUGUGGCGGGACUGAGUCCUCCCCUGCUCACCUGAGUGCACGUGUGCAUACUCUCUCUCUUAAAUAAAUAAAUAAAUAAAUAAAACCUAAAAAAAAAAGAAAAAGUAAAUAUGAUUUAGAUAAGAUUAAUGAAAAGACAUUCAGAUGAUUUAUCAAAUUAUUAAAUGACUCAACCACAUAAUUAUAGAAUUUAUAUAAAAUAUUAAAAAAUUAUGGAAUUGAUUCUGAUGGAAUCAUAAUCACCUUAUAAAAAUUCUAAACAAUGAUAAAAUGUAAUUGCAUAUUUGUAAAUAAUGACUUCAGAAUACCUGCACAAUUUUUUUUUAAUUUUUCAAGUUUUUAUUUUAAUUGCAGUUAGUUAACAUAUAGUGUAAUAUUGGUUUCUGGAGUAGAAUUUAGUGGUUCAUCACUUACAUAUAAACAUUCAGUAUUUACACAAAUUUUUUAAAUAAAAUGAUUUUAAUCCCAAAGGGUAACUGAGAUAUAUCAUAUAAUCCAAUAAGAAUAUAAUUAGCUGGGUGACGGGCACUGAGGGGGGCACUUGACGGGAUGAGCACUGGGUGUUAUUCUGUAUGUUGUAAAUUGAACACCAAUAAAAAAUAAAUUUAUUAUUAAAAAAUGAAAAAAAAACACCUUUAAAAAAAGAAUAUAAUUAGCAUAUAUGAUUUUAUUUAUAAAUUCAGGCUACCACUGUUAAAUAUUCUUUAUACUUUUCAAAAAAGUACCUACUACCACCCUACAUUUCAUAAAACUAUUCAUCUUUUUGUCUUUUACGUUGUAAAAUACCUGAUGCUUAUCUACUAGCUCGGCCAUUUGCUUUGCUGUUCAACACACUGACCAAAGAAAAUAGUAUACAUUGGAAACUGUUAAAUCCUAUGAAGUGCACUGUUAUCUCUAAUGUCUUCAUGAAUUAAUAUAUCAAAAGCAUGGUUGAGACGGAAACUGGCUAAGUUAACUAAAUUGUCUCACAAAGAUGAACCUGGAACUGGAUUUUUUGCUGUUUGUAAGGUGAAAUGUUCAUAACAUUUUCAUCAGUUCUGUAGAUGUGAGACUCUAUUAAAUGUUAAGAUUAUAUCCUCUAGAUUCAAACUAAACUUUUUCUAAUUUCAUUUUUCCGUACAGUGAACAAGUGGAUGUCCACCAGCUUUCUAAAGGAUCUAUUUGGGGGUGAGGUGGGAUGAGGAGGGGUGUCGGGCAGAGAACCAAAGAAAGAAGAACAGGGUCUCAUUUCUCAAUGAGAAAUAUAUAAGUGUGACAUCCAAGUGUCCUUUUGGAACAAGUUCGUUGCAACCAAACACGAUGUUUUUCAUCCUGGGACAGUGAGAGGCGUCUGGGAGCUCUUAGAAAAGCUAGAUUACUGAACCCUACCCAUAGAUGCCAAGUGAAGCCCCGGAUGUUGUAUUUUCUAAAUCUUCAGGUGAUAAUUAUGAUCAUCUAGUUUGAAAUCUAUAUACCAGAGAACGUUAUUUCUGCAUAGAAUAAGCUAGAUUAUCCACUCAUAGGUUAUAUACAGAUGCUAAACGUCAUGAUCAACUUCCUGGCUUAUUUUUCAUGGGAUCUCCUAAAGCGCCUACACUCAGCACUAUUCCUUUGGCAUCCCUCGGGUUCUACCUGAAAAGCACAAGGCCACGUAUUAGCUUUGGAAAGGAGGACGAGCCUUCUGUAAGGUAUCAAUAAUGACAAAAUAACAAUAGCUCUGAUUAUGUGCCAGACACUGAAGUAGAGAAUUCCAUUAUAUUAUUUAAUCCUCACAAUAAUCCUGUUCACACAUACCCAUCUUACAGCAUUUCAGCAGUAACUACAUAUGAUUUCUAUAAUGUGUUUAACAUCUGGUAUACAGCAGGGACUAAAUGAAUUACAAUUUUGUUAUUUAUAGAUAAAAAUUCAAAAACCCAGAAACUAAGAAAGGAUAAAUGGUUGGCCCAGGUCAUACUGUCAGAAUUCAAACCUAAGUGUAGCUCCAGAGGCUGAGCACCUUUCGCUAUGGAAAAUUAGGAAGGGGGAUGACGAGAAGCAAAAGAGGGAGCGGGAUGCUGUCAAAAACUCUUUAGAUAUAAAACCCAGCGAAACACUCAUGUCCUUGGGAAAAAAAAAAAAAAUCACCAAUUCCGCACUUGUCCUAAUUCUAGUUUCUCACUAAAAAUAACCAAAAUUAACUCAUUAAAUGAAGCAUAAAACACAUUUAUUGGAAGAACGUUAGGUAGCUGACAGAUUCAAAGGUGACCUUGCUCAACGAGGCUUGUUGAGGAACCCACACUGGGAAUGCUUGGGCAAAAUUUUGCCACGAAAAUAGUUAGCUCGGGAUAAGGCAGCUGGCUCGUCAGCCCCAGGAGCUUCCACUGACCAGGCCCGGCUCACCCAUGAGCACAGGACCCGCAUAGAGGCCCCCUCUCCUCUUGGCUCUGCUGCGGUUGCCUCACAUGACCUCACGUGACCUUGUGCCUCCGGCUCAUCCUGCCUCGGGAUUUCCCUUCUUCCAUAUGCAGCUAAAUUCAAACUUGCCAAAAGGCGGAAAGAAAGAAACGCUGGGUGUUAUUCUGUAUGUUGGCGAAUUGAACACCAAUAAAAAAUAAUUAUUAAAAAAAAAAAGAAUAACUUUUCCUUUCAUCCUGGCAGAGUACAGGGCUCAGUGUCACUGGAAAAAAAAAGUAGCCGAGUGUUGUACUGAUGACAUCACCCACAUGUAGCAUUCUUGCGGGAAUCUACAAAUCCUAGAAUGAUGCAGAACAGUCGGCCAGGAGAGAGAAUGGGAAGUCUUUUCAGAUGGAUUCCUGUCACUGCGGGGGUUCUGAUAUGUAAAGGAUGCUCAUCUAGAUUACCGUCCAAAUCAGAGACUGAAAGGCAGGGCCAUCAUUAAGCAUUCCGGGAUCAUCCCAGGCAAACCUGGAUGCACCAUCACCCAACUAUUUUUUUUUCACCCAACUAUUUAAAUGGAAAUACCUUGGUAUAUUUGUGUAUAUUCCUAACUGCCUAAGAAUAAUGAUCCUUCUUUACCAUUCUUUUUCCUAUCUCACUUUCUCACUCCCUCCUGUUUCUCCCUCCUCUCUCUUUUUCUCUUCUUUAUUUUUAAUUACGAGGAUUGUGGCCAUCCAGUGGAGCUUCGGUCAUUGGGCUACCUCAGAUUUCCCUAAAUAUUAGCGCUGCUAUUGUCAGACAUCUGAUAGCAUAUCCAGUGGCUGAGCCGGGGAGGGGGUGGGGGGGGGGGGUAGAGUUCUUAAUCACUUUUCAAAUAAGUAAUGUUUUGAUCCCUGGAUCUAGCCGAAACUGUUAGUAGAACUCUACAGAAAGGAUCCUGGGAAACAAACGUUCAGUCAGGCUGAAACUGCAAUAAGAGCAUCCUCUCUGCUUUUCUAGACGAUGGUGGGGGGUCUAGCAAGAGGGGAGUUGAGAGGAGCAGAGAGACAAUGAUUUUGCUGUGUGUGUGCAGGUCUACCUUGCCUGUGUCCUUGAAGAGAUAUGCUUAUUUUAUGUAGGGUGCUGAGAGGAAAGAGGGAAGGGUCUCUCUCAUAACCUACAAAACCUACGGUUUCCAUCACUGGUAGGAUUACUGAAUGAGUCAAAAUAGUUGGGAUGUGUAGUGCCUGGAAGGGGGACGAUUACUGACCAUAGCAUAGGGGAGUUGAAUUGAGACAGUAUUUUAAUUAGAGCGAUUAAACAUUAUGAGU
rnacentral:lncRNA from 1 species